GGAAGAAGAAGAAGAGGGAGAAAGAAGAAGAAAAAACAAUCCAGCCAGCAAGAGUAGAAGAGCCAGAGAUGGUGGAGAUGGAGAGGCUCCCAUUCGAAAUAAUAAGAGAGAUCCUCUCAAGACUACCCGUUAAGUCUCUCUUGCGAUUCAGGUGCGUCUCCAAAGACUGGCGCAGUUUAAUUAGUGAUCCCUUUUUCAUUUCCCAGCACCUCCGUCGAUCAUCUGAGAAAAACCCUAGUGUCUGCCUCACUGAUGGCCCUCUCUUUACUAUAACUUUUGAUGGGUCAUCUACUGCAACGAGGGUUGAUAUUCCAUUUAAAGGUCUAGUGGAUGAAGUUGAAAUCGUGGGUUCUUGUAAUGGGUUGUUAUGUUUAUUUCCUUCUGAGCGUUUAUCUGACUGGUUUGGUCUCAUUAGCCCUAUAUACUUGUGGAAUCCCGCUAUAAGAGAAUACAAGAGGCUUCCUGAUGCCCCAGUUGGGGCCCCAAGAAUGAUUGGGGUUACUAAUACUGUGUUAGGGUUUGGGUAUGAUCACAUUAAUAAUGAAUACAAAGUGGUAAGAAUCGUUUACUUCAGCGAGAGCGGGAUGGACAACCUUAUUUUUAAGUCUGAUGUCACUGUAUACUCUUUGGGGACUGGGAAAUGGAAGAAACUUGGAAAUGUUCCUUUUGACAUCAGGAACACAGACACUUCAUCAAGGGCUGUAGUGAAUGGAUCUAUUCAUUGGAUGGCAACUCGGGAGAUCAAUUCAGAAAUGUCAAAUUUAAUAGUUUCUUUUGAUGUGCGAAAUGAGGUGUUCCAAGAGAUACCGCUUCCCAAUUAUUGUGUAGAACAGGAGCCUUCCAUUCUUGUCUCAGUUUUGGGAGGAUGUCUGUCUUUGAUUGAGUGUAUCCUUGGCGGAAAUGUUGAGAUAUGGCUGAUGAAGGAUUAUGGCGUGAAUGGGGCUUGGACUAAACAGUUCACCAUUAAAUUGUCAUAUGGUUAUGAAGACUUAAUCAUAGUUAUCCCUAUAGAAAUUUUGAAGAAUGGUGAGAUUCUGAUUGAGAAGAAUUUCGAAAGGCUGGUUUUGUAUAACCCUGAAAGCAAAGAAGAGCGGGACCUUGAAAUUCAUGAGCUUCCGGAUUUUGUUGAGCCGUUUAUUUUCAUGGAGAGUCUCGUUCCACUUUCUGAUGGAAGCAGAUAUUAGGAGCAUCAAUCGGGAAAAACAAAAGGAGAUGAAGAAGUAAAAAUAAUAAGCAUUGGUAAAUAGGAGCCCUGUUCUUCAAUGCCAUCUUCUACUUCUUCAUGUACAAAUCUUUUAUUGUGUAGAGGUUCACUAACUCUUUUAGGAGUACACUCAUUGGUGUGUGCUAUAUCAACUCAUGGUGUAUGUAAUUGUGGUUCUGUUCCAACUAUGGUUUCCUUUAGGAUGUUCAUCUCUUUUGCAUCAGCUUAGUU